ensembl:lncRNA
UAUUAUUAAUAUACAAAAUUAUUACAACUUUAAUAAAAAAUGCUAAUUCAAAAUAUUUAUAAAUAUUAUGCUACUAUAUUACUGAAAUAUCACUAGACACUUUUUUUUUUUUUUUUUUUUUUUUUUUUUUUUUUUGGAUUCACCUCUUUUAAACAAAGCACAGUGUCUUCUUUUUAUAUGCCAGGGCUUUAUUAUUUGUGCCUUUUGAUUUUAAAACUUUGACUGUGAAACUGGAAUUCGAUGCAACAGCAGGACAGAAUUUAAAUUCAGCUGGACUCUGGUCAUUCUUCUAAUGGCUCUCUACAAAAGAAGCCACUUAAAAUGGACAUCAGGCAGCAGCACGAAAUGGAUGACAGCAGUUCUGCAGCCGUAUGAAUCUAUGCAUGCAAUUUCUUGAGCUACCAGAAUGCAUUAAAUCAACCAUUCUUUCAUUUCGAGAUCCAAUUUCUAUAUUGACACCCAUCGAGCGGGUGAAUAGAGUGUGCUAGUCAAUAAUACUUCACUAAAUGACGCGUACGUUCAGCGUGAUGGACUGCCAUUUUAUUCCCAUUUCUUCCCCAAGCAAACUUCUUUAAGCAUGUAGCGAUUAUGUUCUGCAGUAUUUGUGCUUUAAAUUACAGGUUGUUUUUGGUUGAGGCAUUCGUCAGUGUUUAUAUGCCCACAAUGAUAAAACCAAUCAUUUCUGGAAAGCUAUAUGCUCUGUGAGCUGUAUAAAUGGGGAAUAUGUACUGUGCCCUAUUCAUUGCGAUGCUGAUAACAUUCCACGCUUUACUUUGACCUUUUAUGACCUUUGCCUCAAUCUGAGUUUGAUGAAAUGAAAUUGUAGAUUGCUGAUUUUGUGUUGUUCGGUAGAUCGAUGGCAUUCAAACGCUCUGCACAAGUACAGGUUGCUUCAUCGGUGGUGCCACAAAGAGUGCCGUGUAUAUGUUGUUUUCUGGAUAUGUUUUCUGGAUUGUUCUGUUCACUUUCGUUUUUAUUGUGCUUUGGGUUGUGUUUUGCUUUGCUUUGUUUUGAUUUGAUUUCUGUUUUGUAUUUGUUUGUUUUUUUCUGUUCUGUGUUCUGUGUGUUCUCUUUUCUGUUCUGUGUUCUGUGUUCUCUUCUGUGUUCUGUGUUCUGUUCUGUUUUGUUUUGUUUUGUGGUCUGUUCUGUCAUGUUUUUUCAAAGCAAACAGCACUGGUCCGUUUUGGUUAGUCCUGUUGUGGUGUUGUUAAGUGGACGUGUAUUUGUGGUUCUGUCCGAGCUUUUCCAAACAGAAGCUUUUGCUGAUGAAAUGAAUCUCUGCCAUCAGGGGGUCAGUGCAUAUAUUCGGUCUCCAGAAGAGAAGAGAAGAAAAGCCAUUAGGUUUCAUCUUCCGUCUUGAGUAGAGCGAGCUGGAGAGAUCUUUUUUCAUUAGAGCGGUGCAGAGCGAGAGAGACUGUCAGAGAAAAGAGAUGGAGAGAGAUGGGCUGGAGGGGCAGAAAGAGUGAUAGAGCAACGACGAGGAGGACGGGAGGGGUAAAAAGAGGUGAAUGAAUGAACACAGCACUGGGAUAAACGGAAAACUGCUUUGAAUGGAAUGUCAUCAGUACUAAGAGCUUUUCAAAGUAUAUCAAACAAUUUAGAUGGAGCACUGCUGUAUGCACACAACUUCCAUCUCCAUAACUGCGUUUGUGCUUCUGAUGAAGUAUAAAUACUGUAUAUAGACCAGCAGCCUUUACUGGUAAUGCAGGUUCAUUUAAGACUUAAUAAGCAAACAAAGUUGAAGAUACAUGAAGUAACCAGAGUAUUACUAGUUUUAAACAUUAAAGUCAUUAAAACUUAAGAUCAUACGAUGCAACCUUAUGUUGCAUCGUAUGAUCUUAUGAAUCAAUUUGUAACCACAGUUGUAAUGCAUUGUAACACCUUUUGAAAGUAUAAUGCAUUAAAACACAUGACAAACAAAUCUUCAAAUAGUAUAACACAUUUUUAUGAACAGGUGCUGUAUAAUGCAUUACAAUGUACAUUUUGAAUACUUUUAUAAUGCAUUAUACAUUAAGGCUUUAAGUAAAGAGUUAUGUCAUGUAAUACUUUCAGUACAAUAAAAGCAAGAAAGGAUCACUAAUUGCA